CCCAAAUCUCAGCUCCCAACCUAGCUCUCUCUCCAGCGGUCGGCGGCCGGCUGUGCCCCGAAUCCCUCGCCAUCGGCUGCGCCCUCAAAUCCCUCGCCUAUUCCAUCCUCUCGUUCGCCCCCUCCGCCUGAUUCGCUGGUCAGUAGACUGACCACCCGCUGCCCGAAGUGUCGCUGGUAAUCUCCCAGCGCUUCCGGAGGAGGGCCACCGUCAACGACCCCUUGGCCGCCGUCAACGACCCCGUGGCCGUCGUCCACUCGACCACCGCAUCCUUCCCUGAGCGGCGCCCUUUCCAAUCCAGGUUACAGGACUUCUGAAGUUAUUUCACUUGUUGAUGAGAAAGAAAACAGAGUUAAACUACUGCUGAUUAUCAAGGAUUAGAUCUUGGAUUUGCUAGUGGACUUUGAGAGUUUCUUGGCCAGCUUGGUGACUCCACAUUUUUCCCUAUUUCAGCAAGCCUUUGGAUGAUGAAGACUCGGACAAGGUGGAGGAUGACGUUGAUCGUGUGUUUGACAACUAUGCAAUGAAAAAAGUGAGAGACAUGAUGUAUCAAGUUCGUGCGGAUGCUGUGAAGUUCUACUAUGAGAAGAAAGGAGAGCGGCUUGAUGGCACGUUGGCAUGUUCAAAAGAGCUUGAAUAUGGCCAAUACUUGGAAGGUGGAAUACCAUGGGUUAAGGAACAUGCAUGGCCUCAUCUUUGUGCUUAUUGGUGCUAAAAAAACGCCAUGUGGCAUUCCCCAUGGGCGACUAGCAAUAGCGAAUGGGGCAAUUAAGAAGGCCGAUGUUAUCUCAACAUCUAGAGAGAAGAAACUGAGGCUGUCAACUUCAGCAUCACUUCGACGAACUAUUCAAGAAAAGGAAGAACUGAAGCGACGAGCUAUAAGAAAACGAAGAACUGAAGCGACAUAAUGAGUACCUGCAAAAUAAAGUGGAUAUGCAUGAACGACUCUUCUUGGAGAUGGGUAAAGAACUACCAGAGGAGCUACACCAAGGAGCAAGGUCCCAACCACAUGGGCAUCUCAGGAACCCAAGCACUUGAUGACAACACCGGUGAUGGUGAUUCGGGUGAAGCUGUUGGCGGUGACGACUCCAACAAUCAGGAAAGCGAGACUUAGAAUGCUAGUGAUGGUAACCUGGGAAGUGCCUUUGUUGACAGAGUAUGGUAACAGGGCUUUAGAAGUGAUGGUAGUGUUGGUAACACAAUAGCAUUUUGGUAGUUGCAACAAACACUAAAGCCAGGUUAUCUGUUCUGAACUAUGAUCUAUUGUUGUGAAGUAUGAUGUAUUUUGUCUGUAAUGCACUGAAGCUUAUCCUUGCAACUUGCAAGUUGAACAAUUUA